rnacentral:misc_RNA from 1 species
GGGGGAAGAAGUGUAUUCCAAGUCUCCAUCUCAACCACUAUACACUCAUUAGAAGGGGUAAGACCCACAAUCCAUGAAUCUCCAAAAGAAUCUGAUAGAGCCAAGAAACAGAAAGUGGGCUAGCUGAUGAUGCUUCUCCUUGGGAAGUGCUAAGAACAGGAUGCACAGAGGGACUUCUCAUCAUGUCUUCUUUGCCACGAGUCUGAUUAGUGAAAGGCAAAAAGUGCAACACUACUGAAUCAAUUCCUCGUUCAUGAAGGCAAUAUAUUCGUUCUGAAAUAAUGGGAUCAACAAACAUUGAUAAAACAGAACCGCUUCUUCUGGGCAGAGCUAAAUCCACAAUAGCCAACCUCAGAAGAGGAGGUGGAUGCCCCAACCAUAAAGUAUGAUCUGGUGGCACAUCAAGCUUCAAAAUGGAGGUGUCACUUGACAAUGACUCGC